GAAGUGGCCGCCUGGGAUGCCCUCCUCCAAGACAUCGCCCUUCUCCCGAUGAACGUCACUGACACCCCGGAAGCCAUCUCUUGGCGUCUGGAAUCAUCCGGCUGCUUCUCCACCAAAUCCCUCUAUGCGGCCAUCGCCCCCUCGACGGCCCCCGAGCCCUUCAGUCUGAUUUGGGACAUCCGCUUGCCCCUGAAAAUCUGGAUCUUCCUAUGGCAAUGGAUCCGCGGCCGCCUCCCAUCCGGCAUGGAGGUCCUCAAGCGUAAUGGACCCGGAGAUGGGAUUUGUCCCCUGUGCGGCACGGUGGAGGACGCUAAUCACAUCUUCUUCUCGUGCUCCACGGCCCAGUUUCUCUGGUCCAGUUUCCGCGAGACGGUUGGGGGCCAGUGGUGCAACUCCAAUUUCCCUGACCUGCUUGCGGAGAUCCAUGCCUCCCCCCCUCGCUACCGCCAUAUUAGAUGGCUCCGCGUUGGGGUCCUUGCCUGGACGCUUUGGACCGUUCGCAAUAAGCUUGUCAUCCAGAAGGUGCCUCUCCGACGCGCUACUGACGCCAUCUUUAAAAUGUGUGGGUACUUGCAGCUUUGGCGGCCGCUUAGCCGCCCUUAG
rnacentral:rRNA from 1 species